rnacentral:rRNA from 1 species
UACGUAGGAUCCGAGCGUUGUCCGGAUUUACUGGGUGUAAAGGGUGCGCAGGCGGACUGGUAAGUCAGUGGUGAAAUCUCGUCGCUUAACGACGAAACUGCCUUUGAUACUAUCAGUCUUGAAUCCGGUAGAGAUCUGUGGAAUUCCGAGUGUAGCAGUGAAAUGUGUAGAUAUUCGGAAGAACACCAGUGGCGAAGGCAGCAGAUUGGGCCGGUAUUGACGCUCAGGCACGAAAGCAUGGGGAGCAAACGGG